CGUAGGUAACCUGCCUGGUAGCGGGGGGUAACUAUUGGAAACGAUAGCUAAUACCGCAUAACAGUCGACAUUGCAUGAUGUUGAUUUGAAAGGGGCAAUUGCUCCACUACCAGAUGGACCUGCGUUGUAUUAGCUAGUUGGUGAGGUAACGGCUCACCAAGGCGACGAUACAUAGCCGACCUGAGAAGGUGAUCGGCCACACUGGGACUGAGACACGGCCCAG
rnacentral:rRNA from 1 species